rnacentral:lncRNA from 1 species
CUGUAUCUCAUCAGCUUUGUAUAGCUAUUAGGGUUACAGCCGCAGCUUAUCGUUCUUCAAUAUUUUUUUCUUUCGUGUACCAAAAAUAUUUGCGAUGAAGAGAAACAAACAAAAGGAAUAAUAGUGAUUGCUGAUAUUUCUGCAACAUGAUCCCUUUGUUUUGGUUCGUAUUCACUGAGCAUUAUCAAAUCACAACUUCUUUUUCUUUUUUAAAUAAUUUGUAUUUGUUUUUGAAAUUUAAAUCGAAGGUCCUAUGGAGGAAACGCCAUUAAUCAGUGCGUUUUUACUUCAAGUUUGCUUUCGGAAAUUGAAUUGAGAUCUAGAUCUUAUUAUCGACCAAGUGUUUCAUCCUGUAGCUUGGUUUUAGAUUUUGAUUUCAACAUUAUUUUAUUUAUUAUAAUAAUUAUUAU